UGAGUGCAGAAGAUUUAGUACAGGUAUAUUGCAUGAUGCAUCCUACCAUGCUCUGUGACGUGUUAAUAAGGGAAUAUAAUAAUAAUAAUAGUAUAUGCAGUUCCAUCCCCCUGAGUCACAGAGACUUGGAGAAUCUAUUCCAAGGCUCAUUUAAGCUGUUCAACACUUUACUAACACACUAUGUUGUGUUUUCCUUUCACUAGUUACCUGCCUUUUGGUUACAGUCCUUUUAAAAACAUCAGUCUUACAAGAAAUAUUCACUCCAAUACACAGAGAGCAGCUGAUGAGAGAAAACGUGUACGAGACCCUCCACACACCUCUAAAAGGGACUCUGUAGGACAUGGUAAGCCGAGGGGAAGGCGAGGAGGACGACGCCAUGCCUCCGCUACAGGUUAUAUCUGAAUUGAGAGUUAAAAAAAUUCAAAUAUCUAAAAAGACAUUAAAAAGUAGAUAAACCUUUCAGUGACACUAUUGUAGAAGACUACCAAGCACUUAACAAACAUAUGUCUGAUUUCAUAAAUUGUUUAGUAUAUAGGUUGAAAAGAAGAACAAGAAUGGAGUGUGAUAGCCUAACUUGUUCUUAUUCUUCUAUGUGUUGUUUUACAGCCACAUAUCCCACGUUUGAGUGCUCCCUGUCAUCCAGUGUUGAGGUUCCUUUUACUGCAACCUCAACAAAACUAAAUCCUCAAGAGGAAUUUGAAAAAAAUAUGGAGAGGCUCUCUGAUAUUUUGGCGUCAUGUCCUUCUGCUGCUCAGCCUCAAAGUAGCUCUGCAUCAUCAUGGUCUUUUCGGCAGCAGGAAGCCUCAGAGCGCUGGAAAGAAGCAAGACCACACCACCUAAAAUGCCUUAUUUCAAAAGAGGCUAUUGGUCAUCCCCUGUGUGGCCUUUGCAACAAGCCUGCUGUUAUUAGGUGCAGAGAGUGUCUUCCUGAGGAGUGGUUCUGUUGGGACUGUGAUGUAUUGAAUCACAAAAAACAGCCACUCCACAACAGGGAAUGCGUGAUUCGUGGGUUUUUUGAAGCCAUUCCUCCAACCCUGUGCAUCAUUAAAGGGGAAUGUGGAUAUCGCAACCAUGAACAAGCUUGCAUUUUGCCAACUGUGAAAAUGCCAGACUGCUCCUGUGAAGACACAAACUUCACUGUGUUACCUGGCAAACCAGUGAUUUUAAUUACCAUCAAUGGGCGUUUUGACUUGCAUCAGCCACUGUAUGAAUGUCAAACAUGCCAGCAGCAAUGGACCCCUGACUUUAAAGACCUCCUAAGAAGUGGAUAUUGGCCAGCCUCCGUCACCAAUUCCACACUUUAUACACUGGACCUCUUGAGCUCCCUUCAGGAACUCAAGAUCAUAUGUCCGGGAUUCUCCAGACAAGCCUUCGCAAAGCUGCUGGAGCAUCGCACUAAGUGUGGAGGAAGAGUAAGUGUAAAUGAUAUUUAA
rnacentral:lncRNA from 1 species